rnacentral:tRNA from 1 species
GCACUGGUGGUUCAGUGGUAGAAUUCUCGCCUGCCACGCGGGAGACCCGGAUUCGAUUACCGUUCAAUGCA